AGUGAACGCUGGCGGUAGGCCUAACACAUGCAAGUCGAACGGCAGCACAGUAAGAGCUUGCUCUUACGGGUGGCGAGUGGCGGACGGGUGAGGAAUACAUCGGAAUCUACUUUUUCGUGGGGGAUAACGUAGGGAAACUUACGCUAAUACCGCAUACGACCUACGGGUGAAAGCAGGGGAUCUUCGGACCUUGCGCGAUUGAAUGAGCCGAUGUCGGAUUAGCUAGUUGGCGGGGUAAAGGCCCACCAAGGCGACGAUCCGUAGCUGGUCUGAGAGGAUGAUCAGCCACACUGGAACUGAGACACGGUCCAGACUCCUACGGGAGGCAGCAGUGGGGAAUAUUGGACAAUGGGCGCAAGCCUGAUCCAGCCAUACCGCGUGGGUGAAGAAGGCCUUCGGGUUGCAAAGCCCUUUUGCUGGGAAAGAAAAGCAGCAGGUUAAUACCCCGCUGUUCUGACGGUACCCAAAGAAUAAGCACCGGCUAACUUCGUG
rnacentral:rRNA from 1 species